UACGGAGGGUGCAAGCGUUAAUCGGAAUUACUGGGCGUAAAGCGCACGCAGGUGGCUAGGUCAGUCGAUUGUGAAAGCCCUGGGCUUAACCUGGGAAUUGCAGUCGAUACUACUUAGCUAGAGUAUGGGAGAGGGCAGUGGAAUUCCCGGUGUAGCGGUGAAAUGCGUAGAUAUCGGGAGGAACAUCAGUGGCGAAGGCGGCUGCCUGGCCCAAUACUGACACUCAGGUGCGACAGCGUGGGGAGCAAACAGG
rnacentral:rRNA from 1 species